rnacentral:rRNA from 1 species
UGCAAGUCGAACGAUGAACUGGAGCUUGCUCCAGGGAUUAGUGGCGAACGGGUGAGUAACACGUGAGUAACCUGCCCUUGACUCUGGGAUAAGCGCUGGAAACGGCGUCUAAUACCGGAUACGAGCUUCAGUCGCAUGGCUAGGAGCUGGAAAGAAUUUUGGUCAAGGAUGGACUCGCGGCCUAUCAGCUAGUUGGUGAGGUAAUGGCUCACCAAGGCGACGACGGGUAGCCGGCCUGAGAGGGUGACCGGCCACACUGGGACUGAGACACGGCCCAGACUCCUACGGGAGGCAGCAGUGGGGAAUAUUGCACAAUGGGCGAAAGCCUGAUGCAGCAACGCCGCGUGAGGGACGACGGCCUUCGGGUUGUAAACCUCUUUUAGUAGGGAAGAAGCGAAAGUGACGGUACCUGCAGAAAAAGCACCGGCUAACUACGUGCCAGCAGCCGCGGUAAUACGUAGGGUGCAAGCGUUGUCCGGAAUUAUUGGGCGUAAAGAGCUCGUAGGCGGUUUGUCGCGUCUGCUGUGAAAACUGGGGGCUCAACCCCCAGCCUGCAGUGGGUACGGGCAGACUAGAGUGCGGUAGGGGAGAUUGGAAUUCCUGGUGUAGCGGUGGAAUGCGCAGAUAUCAGGAGGAACACCGAUGGCGAAGGCAGAUCUCUGGGCCGCUACUGACGCUGAGGAGCGAAAGCGUGGGGAGCGAACAGGAUUAGAUACCCUGGUAGUCCACGCCGUAAACGUUGGGAACUAGAUGUGGGGGCCAUUCCACGGUCUCCGUGUCGCAGCUAACGCAUUAAGUUCCCCGCCUGGGGAGUACGGCCGCAAGG